GAUGAACGCUAGCGGCAGGCCUAACACAUGCAAGUCGAGGGGUAGAGGAAGCUUGCUUCUUUGAGACCGGCGCACGGGUGCGUAACGCGUAUGCAAUCUACCUUGUACAGAGGGAUAGCCCAGAGAAAUUUGGAUUAAUACCUCAUAGUAUUAUUGAGUGGCAUCACUUAAUUAUUAAAGUUCCAACGGUACAAGAUGAGCAUGCGUCCUAUUAGCUAGAUGGUAAGGUAACGGCUUACCAUGGCUACGAUAGGUAGGGGUCCUGAGAGGGAGAUCCCCCACACUGGUACUGAGACACGGACCAGACUCCUACGGGAGGCAGCAGUGAGGAAUAUUGGUCAAUGGGCGCAAGCCUGAACCAGCCAUGCCGCGUGCAGGAAGACGGUCCUAUGGAUUGUAACUGCUUUUGUACGGGAAGAAACACCCCGACGUGUCGGGGCUUGACGGUACCGUAAGAAUAAGGAUCGGCUAACUCCGUGCCAGCCGCCGCGGUAAUAC
rnacentral:rRNA from 1 species